AGAGCUCAAGCGUCUCAACAACGACAAACUUUCCUUUUUCUUUUUCCUGCCAUUCUUCUGUGACCCUUCUUCCUUUUCUUCCCGAGUGCUCGUGUGAAACCUAUGCACGCGGCCUUGCAGCUAUCGCAUAAGGUCUCCGCCACGUGUGGCCUCACUGCGGAAGUCCAGAUCCGAGAUCAGAUAGCUGUGACUUGUCUCACGCUUAUCUUCCCGAAAAUGCGCAUAGACCUUUCUAUGCGGGAUCCC
rnacentral:lncRNA from 1 species